rnacentral:lncRNA from 1 species
GUUUGAUGAUAUUCUCUUGCAAUACAAAAUAGCUUGUUGAAUAGAUCUGGUUAAGAUUAUCUGGUUCAGUGAGAUCUAUUCUAGUUUCCCCCAACAGCCGAACACUAACAUGUUGCCCUGGCUUGUAAAUAUUUUACUUUAAAUAAAAUUAGUAUGGACUGAAUUGAGAAUAGUGUUGGUCUACAAGUGUCCAUCACAGCUUGCACAACAGCAAAGGUGUGUGUGUGUGUGUGUGUGUGUGUGUGUGUGUGUGUGUGUGUGUGUGUGUGUGUGUGUGUGUGUGUGUGUGUGUGUGUGUGUGUGUGUGUGUGUGUGUGCAUGUGUUUAUGAGGCCUUGCUCCUGGGAUAAGUACAUUUACCUUUCACUUGUCCUGGCAAAAAAGUCACUCUUCCGAUUGUCAUUUUACAAUAGUAAUAAUUGUUCAUGUUGUUUGCGAACGGAGAAUGCAGAAUUCAGACGAACAAACAGUUGCAAUAAUUCACACCAUGUCAACCACAUCACUAAAACAGCCAUAACCCUCCUCUCUCACACACACACACAAACAUACACACAGACACAGACAACGUCAACAAAAACAAACUAAUUCUGCCGUUCCCAUAAUGUGGUGACUUAAGUUGUAUUCAAAUAUGAAUACAAAUCUGUAGUUGGCUCCUAGACAUGUCCACUACGCUGUCUGCUAUAUUAUACCUAUGUACGUUGUAUAUUUAUAUUCAAUGAAAAAUAAUCUUGUGUCUGUUUGUGCUUGCAGGAGUCCGUGUGUCAACUGAAGACAUCUGAUAAGAGUGUCUUCACUCUGAUAAGAGUGUCACCACUGUCACUUCCUGACACUGAUGAUAUCAGAUUGCAGGCUGAGGACUCCUCAGAAUUAAAACAUGCAACGUGUUUUUUCCAGCUGAUAUAGCAGAACCGACUCCUGAGAGCAGACGUAUCUGAAGCUGUCAGGGAGGAACCAUGGCUACCAUCUCUGAGGAACCUGAGGACACGUCUUUGGACCGGAGGGAGCGCAAGAGAAGAUUUGCUGGUAGAGCAAAGAAGAAGGCUAAGUCCAGACGCCGUGGAAGCCGUCAGAGAGUAACAAUGGUCACCAUCUCGGACCGGGAGGAGACCAAGAAGAGAAGAUUUGGUAGGUGCCCCUUUUAUAGAGAAUUUAAAAGAAAUAAUCCAGUCCAAAACAAUGAUCCAAAAAAGUAUGAUUUCCUCCAAAUACAUUUAAGAUUUAUGUUUAGAUUUUUUUUUUUGCCAAAGUGACCGUGUGUGUGUGUGUGUGUGUGUGUGGGUGUGUGUGUGUGUGUGUGUGUGUGUGUGUGUGUGUGUGUGUGUGUGUGUGUGUGUGUGUGUGUGUGUGUGUGUGUGUGUGUGUCCUACUCCUGAACAGCUCUAUGGUUUCACAUCACUGUCAUUGUGAGCAUCGGACUGCUGAGUAUUCUCCUCAUCUCCCUGCGCUUCAGUGAGUCUAAAUCAUAUCCUCCUGAAUAGAAUUACAAUACAGUAUAAUCAUAUCAUUGAUUGUAUUAAUAGCAAUGAUAAUGUUAAAUAUUGUUUUUGUUAGAUUUAGUGAUAAUAAUAGGGUUAGCACACAUACACCGCACGCACACCCAUAAACACAGCCUACACACACACAAACAAUCCACACACACGUGCACGAACACACACGCACAUGCACACACACUGCACACACGGGCGUGCUGAUGCAGGUGUUUCAAGACAAGGGCAGCGCAGGACACCGCCUACACACACACCACACACACAUGCACACACACACGCACACACAUGCACGUGCAUACACACACUGCACACACGCGGAUGCAGAUGUUUCAAGACAAUGGCAAGAUUGAGAUAACAGCCCCGCCGUCGACACACUCUCCCACCUGAGCUGUCCAUCAAAGACACUUUUUUGCAAAACCUUAUUUUUCUUUAAACAUUCUCCAUCUCCUUGAGGCUCCAGAAAUGUCUUGUGAUAUUGAAAUCCCCCCUACCCCCUGCCGACUGUAUUAGUUGUUUUAUUUGUCUUAUGUUUUAUGUGUAGGCUAUGUGUGACUGUAGGCUACUGCCGCCUGUCUUGGCCAGAUCACUUGAAGAGAUGUUUAAUCUCAAUGACGCAUUCUUCUGUUAACAAAAAAAAACAUCUCUCACGUCAGGUAGCCAAUGUACAAUCUGCAAUGUAGCCCUCACAACCCCCCCCCCCCCCUCACAACCCCCCCUCACAACCCCCCCCCCCCCACCCCCCCCCCCCCCCCCCCCCCCCACACAAGCCUGUGCUUUAGUUCACUAUGGUUAGGUAGGUUGCUGCCUUAGCUGUUGUAACAUGAACACAUUUUUCAGCUGUUUGUUAUUAUUAUUUCCAACUAACCAAUAGUAGUUGCCAUGCAUUUUUUUUAGUAUCAAUGCACUUUGAGCCCUGAAUAACAGUAAAAGCUAUUGAAUGAUUGAUUUGCAUGCAUAGUCUACUACACUUUCCAUUAAACAAAUACCCCUGUAACCCAACAGUUAGCUGAACAUUAUAUGGUCGCAUCCUUCCACUCCCUGUUUUCUCACCCUGUUUAAACAAGAAAUCAACUGCAUUUGUCCCAGUGUUUGUGCUAUGGGAAAUUAAAGGUCCCAUGGCAUGCUACUUCAUGGAUGCUUUAAUAUAGGUAUUAGUUGGCCCCAAACACAGUAUUUGAAGAUGUUCCUGAAAUUCAGCCGUGGUGCAGAAUUACAGCCACUACGAGCCAGUCGCACAUUGAGCUUUCCCCAAAUAUGCCGUUUCUGUGUCAGUAGCUUUAAUGCAAAUGAGGAGGAGAGAGGCGGGUCAAGAAGGAGGGUGGGGGUGUGGCCCUGAGCAGCUUGAGGCCACGGUACCAUGCGCUCUGCUUACAGUGGAUGUUUCACAAUGACGAAGCAUACAACAAUCAAUCCCUUUCUCCUCAAUUUCAUGGUUCAUGUACUUCAGGGAGUCAAAGCCAAAGUUCCUUUCCCCCAAUUCCUUCUCAACCAUGGCGGAGAUAACCCCAACUACAGUCUGGUUGUGGAAUUACUAGGGACGUCAAAGAACCAACGUUUUAUGCGCCAUAGCAUCAAAGCGGAACGGUUAUCCAAACUACAAAGCACCACACAUGUGGCGCUCGCAUGGUCGUAGCUCAUUGUCUGAUUGGCAGACCGAAUUUUCUGGGCGGGCCAGUCAGAGAAAGGGGAGGUAACUUAGCCCCUUAUUAUUUUUUAUAGGCGAGCAGGAUACCUAGUGCUCGUUUUACACCGAACGCAAGUUUUAGCCACUGGGAGACGAUAGGCAGGCUAGGGGAACUCAUAUUAAUGUUAGAAAACCUCAUAAAGGGAGAUUUUCAUGCCAUGGGACCUUUAAGCAAUAAAAUACACUCUCCUUCUCCAGUAUCGUUCGCGACGCCCUUCUUCGUCUUUUCUUCAAUUUGUCUCUAACUCAUGCUCUAAUCUUUCAUUGAUCGAUUCUUCGGAUGUUGUGAAUGCAACGGAAUAUAUGAUGCAUCGUUGCAGUAACAUUUAAGAUGAUGGCGAUGAGUUCUGCCCGUUCUGCCUCCGUGCUGUCUGCGGUCAAACCAAAACAAACUACAGUUUCAGCGGCCGCACUUAUCCCGCCUCAUGCGAACUUCGACCAUGCGUCCAAUCCCGCCCUUUGCAAGCCCACCCCACUUGAUUCUGCUGAUGUCUGAACGACAUUGAUGUCCGCAUAUAAAGCAUCAAGUGUGAAAAACCCUCAGGGUCGAAUCUUCUGAUAUACAAAUACGGCAAACUUAAAAAUAUUAUGCUUGCUUCAUGAAUUUAGGAGAAAAUUAUUAUGCUUGCUUCGUUACGAUAUAGGUGAACCAAUAUAUUAUACGUUGUAACAUUAUAGGCAAUUUUUUUUUUUUAUAUUUAAUUAUAUGACAUUAUGAUAUGGUUAAAUACAAUAUCGACCGGGGUUUCCAUAUUAUAGCUAUGGAUUUAAAAACUACUAGAGGUUGAGCGCAGGCAACGCACACACGGACACUCUAGUCUUACUUCUAUAUAAUAGCAGGCCUGUCGCGCCAGUUACUCAAGUUGGUCAGUGUGCACGUGCCAAGCAGCCUGCAGCUCUCACACACACAGCACACGCAAACGCAUACAUACACCGCAAGCACGCACAUACACACCGCAUCCACACACACCGAACAAACACACCACACACAUACGCAGCUGUGCACAAACAUACACGGAAGCACACACACACGCACGCACACACACCACUAGCCAAUACAAAGGCAGCAACACACUCGCCCAGGUAAGAGGUUAUGUUUUAACCGUAACGGCUCCGCCAUCGACACACGCGCAGGUAAGAACACACUAGCAUGCGCACACAUCGCAGCGACACUCGCCCAGGUAACACGUUAUGUUUUCAAACAUAACGGCUCCGUCAUCGACACACGCGCCCAGGUAAGACCACACACGCACACACCGCGACUCGCCCAGGUUAGACGUUAUGUUUUUAAACAUCUUACUGCUAUAGAAUAGCAGGCCUGUCGCACAGGUGAAGGUGCGUCCACACCAAACGCAAAGGGGCGACAUGACUCCAUACAAAUUCAACGUAGAGACUCGAUCAAAGGCCGGGCCUUUGAUCGAUUAGCCCAUUAGCCCUUUAUUGGGCUAAUCUGAGGAGAAAUCUAUGCCAUAAACAGAAAUAUUAUAGGCCUUUAUUACACGGGUCUUCUCAAUGCCGUGGAACGCUCCGUUCACUUGCAUGGGUAGUAGUCCCGUAACUUGUCAACCCCAGCGGCAGACUAUUUCACUGCUGAUCAACACUACGAAUGCUGGUAACGAAUAAAUUGUGAAAAGACACACCAUGUGAAGUUAUUUUCCAAAUAAGAUUUGAAAAACUUUGGAAGUUUAUUUACAACACUAUUUACAUGGUUUCGGAGUAGUACACUUUGACAUUUUAAUACAGUUCAGCGAGAAAGGCGACGAAGAAUAAGAAGGGGGCGUUCCAGUCUGCGUGAACGGGAACCCCCACCACACGAGAACGCCCAUUUGUGUCUGCAGUGGGAUGAUAUAGAGUGGCGAAGUCACGCCCCUUCCGGUAGGGCUCAUGGGACCUAUGAGAUCGAAAAAUAUGAAUGGGUGUCAAUGGAGAGAAAAUAAUUAU